CCUACGGGAGGCUGCAGUGGGGAAUAUUGCGCAAUGGGCGAAAGCCUGACGCAGCGACGCCGCGUGUGGGAUGACGGCCUUCGGGUUGUAAACCACUUUCGGGAGGGACGAAGCUCUGACGGUACCCCCACAGGAAGCACCGGCUCACUCUGUGCCAGCAGCCGCGGUAAUACAGAGGGUGCAAGCGUUGUCCGGAAUCACGGGGCGUAAAGGGCGCGUAGGCGGCCUGAUAAGUCGGGGGAGAAACGCUGCGGCUCAACCGCAGCACUGCCGUCGAGACUGUUGGGCUUGAGCACGGUAGAGGCUGGUGGAAUUCCCGGUGUAGCGGUGAAAUGCGUAGAGAUCGGGAAGAACAUCGGUGGCGAAGGCGGCCAGCUGGGCCGUUGCUGACGCUGAGGCGCGACAGCGUGGGGAGCAAACAGGAUUAGAUAUCCCUGUAGUC
rnacentral:rRNA from 1 species